CCCCUCUUAGGGUCACACCUAGAGAGUUUCCAGUCCUCUACCAGUCUUGAUUGUGGGAGGGAGAGUCAAGCAGAGGUCUACCCAUUCCAUUCCUAGUUUGGCCAGUGGCUAGUGAGUGGAAGGCAAUCUUCCUCAAGU